rnacentral:rRNA from 1 species
GACAGAGGCCUCAAGCGUUGGGCGGAAUCACUGGGCUUAAAGCGUGUGUAGGCGGAUCGUUAAGUGUCUUGUGAAAUCCCACGGCUCACCCGUGGAACUGCUGGGCAUACUGGCGAUCUUGGGCCAACUAGGGGCAGCCGGAACAAGCGGUGGAGCGGUGAAAUGCGUAGAUAUCGCUUGGAACGCCGAAGGUGAAAACAGGCUGCUGGGGUUGCGCCGACGCUGAGACACGAAAGCCAGGGGAGCAAACGGG